CAGCACCUCAAGUGGUCAGGAUGAUUAUUGGGCCUAAAGCAUCCGUAGCCGGCGCUGUAAGUUUUCGGUUAAAUCUGUACGCUCAACGUACAGGCUGCCGGGAAUACUGCAGCGCUAGGGAGUGGGAGAGGUAGACGGUACUCGGUAGGAAGGGGUAAAAUCCUUUGAUCUAUUGAUGACCACCUGUGGCGAAGGCGGUCUACCAGAACACGUCCGACGGUGAGGGACGAAAGCUAGGGGAGCGAACCGGAUUAGAUACCCGAGUAGUCC
rnacentral:rRNA from 1 species